rnacentral:rRNA from 1 species
GACGAACGCUGGCGGCGUGCUUAACACAUGCAAGUCGAACGGAAAGGCCCUGCUUUUGUGGGGUGCUCGAGUGGCGAACGGGUGAGUAACACGUGAGUAACCUGCCCUUGACUUUGGGAUAACUUCAGGAAACUGGGGCUAAUACCGGAUAGGAGCUCCUGCUGCAUGGUGGGGGUUGGAAAGUUUCGGCGGUUGGGGAUGGACUCGCGGCUUAUCAGCUUGUUGGUGGGGUAGUGGCUUACCAAGGCUUUGACGGGUAGCCGGCCUGAGAGGGUGACCGGCCACAUUGGGACUGAGAUACGGCGCAGAAUCCAACGGGAGGCAGCAGUGGGGAAUAUUGCACAAUGGGCGGAAGCCUGAUGCAGAAACGCCGCGUGCGGGAUGAUGGCCUUCGGGUUGUAAACCGCUUUCGCCUGUGACGAAGCGUGAGUGACGGUAAUGGGUAAAGAAGCACCGGCUAACUACGUG